rnacentral:rRNA from 1 species
GAACGCUGGCGGCGUGCUUAACACAUGCAAGUCGAACGCGAAAGGGACUUCGGUCCUGAGUAAAGUGGCGCACGGGUGAGUAACGCGUGGAUAAUCUGCCCUUAUGAUCGGGAUAACAGUUGGAAACGGCUGCUAAUACCGGAUACGCUCAAGAUGAACUUUUUGAGGAAAGAUGGCCUCUGCUUGCAUGCUAUCGCAUAGGGAUGAGUCCGCGUCCCAUUAGCUUGUUGGCGGGUAACGGCCCACCAAGGCAACGAUGGGUAGCCGAUUUGAGAGGAUGAUCGGCCACACUGGAACUGAAACACGGUCCAGACUCCUACGGGAGGCAGCAGUGGGGAAUAUUGCGCAAUGGGCGAAAGCCUGACGCAGCGACGCCGCGUGAGGGAUUGAAGGUUUUCGGAUCGUAAACCUCUGUCAGAAGGGAAGAAACUACGUUGUGCUAAUCAGCAGCGUUACUGACGGUACCUUCAAAGGAAGCACCGGCUAACUCCGUGCCAGCAGCCGC